rnacentral:rRNA from 1 species
UGGGGAAUAUUGCACAAUGGGCGCAAGCCUGAUGCAGCAACGCCGCGUGAGGGAUGACGGCCUUCGGGUUGUAAACCUCUUUUAGUAGGGAAGAAGCGAAAGUGACGGUACCUGCAGAAAAAGCACCGGCUAACUACGUGCCAGCAGCCGCGGUAAUACGUAGGGUGCGAGCGUUGUCCGGAAUUAUUGGGCGUAAAGAGCUCGUAGGCGGUCUGUCGCGUCUGCUGUGAAAAACCCGAGGCUCAACCUCGGGCCUGCAGUGGGUACGGGCAGACUAGAGUGCGUAGGGGAGAAUGGAAUUCCUGGUGUAGCGGUGGAAUGCGCAGAUAUCAGGAGGAACACCGAUGGCGAAGGCAGUUCUCUGGGCCGUAACUGACGCUGAGGAGCGAAAGCGUGGGGAGCGAACAGGAUUAGAUACCCUGGUAGUCCACGCCGUAAACGUUGGGCGCUAGAUGUGGGGACCAUUCCACGGUUUCCGUGUCGCAGCUAACGCAUUAAGCGCCCCGCCUGGGGAGUACGGCCGCAAGGCUAAAAACUC